AACGAACGCUGGCGGCAUGCCUAACACAUGCAAGUCGAACGAGUGCCUUCGGGUGCUAGUGGCGCACGGGUGCGUAACGCGUGGGAAUCUGCCCUUAGGUUCGGAAUAACAGCUGGAAACGGCUGCUAAUACCGGAUGAUAUCGCGAGAUCAAAGAUUUAUCGCCUGAGGAUGAGCCCGCGUUGGAUUAGGUAGUUGGUGGGGUAAAGGCCUACCAAGCCGACGAUCCAUAGCUGGUCUGAGAGGAUGAUCAGCCACACUGGGACUGAGACACGGCCCAGACUCCUACGGGAGGCAGCAGUGGGGAAUAUUGGACAAUGGGCGCAAGCCUGAUCCAGCAAUGCCGCGUGAGUGAUGAAGGCCCUAGGGUUGUAAAGCUCUUUUGCCCGGGAAGAUAAUGACUGUACCGGGAGAAUAAGCCCCGGCUAACUCCGUGCCAGCCGCCGCGGUAA
rnacentral:rRNA from 1 species